CGAGUGAAGAGGGAAGAGCUCAAAUUUUGAAUCUGGCGUCUUUGGCGUCCGAAUUGUAAUCUAGAGAAGUGUUUUCCGUGACGGACCGUGCAUAAGUCUCCUGGAAUGGAGUGUCAUAGAGGGUGAGAAUCCCGUAUAUGGCACGGACUCCCGUUGCUCUGUGAUACACUCUCGACGAGUCGAGUUGUUUGGGAAUGCAGCUCUAAAUGGGUGGUAAAUGCCAUCUAAAGCUAAAUAUUGGCGAGAGACCGAUAGCGAACAAGUACCGUGAGGGAAAGAUGAAAAGCACUUUGGAAAGAGAGUGAAACAGUACGUGAAAUUGUUGAAAGGGAAACGCUUGAAGUCAGUCGCGCCGUUCGGGAUUCAGCCUUGCUUCUGCUCGGUUUACUUCCCGUUGGGUGGGUCAACAUCAGUUUCGGUCGGAGGAGAAAGGCCUGGGGAAGGUGGCAGCAUUCGUGCUGUGUUAUAGCCCCUUGUUGUAUACUUCGACUGGGACUGAGGACCGCAGCACGCCUUUGGCCGGGGUUCGCCCACGUACGUGCUUAGGAUGUUGGCA
rnacentral:rRNA from 1 species